rnacentral:rRNA from 1 species
CCUGGUUGAUCCUGCCAGUAGUCAUAUGCUUGUCUCAAAGAUUAAGCCAUGCAUGUCUAAGUAUAAGCGAUCUAUACUGCGAAACUGCGAAUGGCUCAUUAAAUCAGUUAUAGUUUAUUUGAUAGUAUCUUACUACUUGGAUAACCGUAGUAAUUCUAGAGCUAAUACAUGCGCACAACCCCGACUUCUGGAAGGGGUGUAUUUAUUAGAUACAGAACCAAACCGUACUUGUGCGGUCUUGAUGAUUCAUAGUAACUUGUCGAAUCGCAUGGCCUUGCGCCGGCGAUGAAUCAUUCAAAUUUCUGCCCUAUCAACUUUCGAUUGUAGGAUAGAGGCCUACAAUGGUUUUAACGGGUAACGGAGAAUUAGGGUUCGAUUCCGGAGAGGGAGCCUGAGAAACGGCUACCACAUCCAAGGAAGGCAGCAGGCGCGCUAAUUACCCAAUCCCGAUACGGGGAGGUAGUGACAAUAAAUAACAAUACCGGGCUUCAAAAGUCUGGUAAUUGGAAUGAGUACAAUCCAAAACCCUUAACGAGGAACAAUUGGAGGGCAAGUCUGGUGCCAGCAGCCGCGGUAAUUCCAGCUCCAAUAGCGUAUAUUAAAGUUGCUGCAGUUAAAAAGCUCGUAGUCGGAUUUCGGGGCCGCGCGGCCGGUCUGCCGAGAGGUAUUGCACUGGUCGGGCGGCUCUUCCUUCUGGAGGCUGCGUCUGCUCUUAGUUGGGCGGGCGUGUGCGUCCAGGUCGUUUACUUUGAAAAAACUAGAGUGUUCAAAGCAGGCCAAUCGCCUUGAAUACAUUAGCAUGGAAUAAUGGAAUAGGACUUUGGUUCUAUUUUGUUGGUUUCUAGGACUGAAGUAAUGAUUAAUAGGGAUAGUUGGGGGCAUUCAUAUUUCAUUGCUAGAGGUGAAAUUCUCAGAUUUAUGAAAGAUGAACUUCUGCGAAAGCAUUUGCCAAGGAUGUUUUCAUUGAUCAAGAACGAAAGUUAGGGGAUCGAAGACGAUCAGAUACCGUCGUAGUCUUAACCAUAAACUAUGCCGACUAGGGAUUGGUGGAUGUUCCAUUGUUGACUCCAUCAGCACCUUAUGAGAAAUCAAAGUAUUUGGGUUCCGGGGGGAGUAUGGUCGCAAGGCUGAAACUUAAAGGAAUUGACGGAAGGGCACCACCAGGCGUGGAGCCUGCGGCUUAAUUUGACUCAACACGGGGAAACUUACCAGGUCCAGACAAAGUAAGGAUUGACAGAUUGAGAGCUCUUUCUUGAUU